rnacentral:rRNA from 1 species
UAACGGAUUAUUCUUUAUAGCUUGCUAUGAUAAAAAUUAGUGGCAGACGGGUGAGUAAUGCAUAGGAAUCUACCUAGUAGUAUGGGAUAGCCACUAGAAAUGGUGGGUAAUACUGUAUAAUCCCUGCGGGGGAAAGAUUUAUCGCUAUUAGAUGAGCCUAUGUUAGAUUAGCUAGUUGGUAGGGUAAAGGCCUACCAAGGCAGUGAUCUAUAGCUGGUCUGAGAGGAUGAUCAGCCACACUGGAACUGAGAUACGGUCCAGACUCCUACGGGAGGCAGCAGUGGGGAAUAUUGGACAAUGGGCGCAAGCCUGAUCCAGCUAUGCCGCGUGAGUGAGGAAGGCCUUAGGGUUGUAAAACUCUUUCAGUGGGGAAGAUAAUGACGGUACCCACAGAAGAAGUCCCGGCAAACUCCGUGCCAGCAGCCGCGGUAAUACGGAGGGGGCAAGCGUUGUUCGGAAUUAUUGGGCGUAAAGGGCAUGUAGGCGGUUCGGUAAGUUAAAGGUGAAAUGCCAGGG